UAAUCCUCAUGUCAUAUCCACCUGAAAAAUCACGUAACUGAUAUUUUUGGAAGAAAUGUCGAUUGUUACUUGACGUUAGUAACAUUCACCUGAAAUUCACGUCACAAUUACUAAAAAAAAUAGGUGAAUAUAACUGUGUGUGUAUGUACACAAUUUGAAUGAGUUUGUGUUAGUGUUACAGCUUGCGUUACGUGAUAUUCACGUAAGAAAAAAAAUCAAAAUGGCGUCGAGUGCGGAUUUAAUAAAUAACCUUCUGACGGAUUUGCAAUUUCCACGCAAUUUACUGCAAAAAUUGGACGUUUUAGAUUCUGGAAUAGGUAUACUAAGCCUUAUAACUAUUUCUGAAGAACAGUUAAGAGAUUAUUUGCGACUUUUGGAUCUGGACGACACUGAUUUCGAUUCAUCAUACUACUACGAGCUCUUGCAGUCCUGGAGAGUUCGAAAUAAGCCAGCUAUACAGCGCUUAGUGAGUUGGUGCAUAUACAAAGAUUUUGCAGCGGAACCACCUGCAACCUCGAAGGAAAUCAUUGAC